GAAUGCUCCCCUGAUGAGUUUUCUGGUUUAAUUUUUUCUUAGGGAGGCUGUAAUAAACAAGAUAACUGGAUUUCACAAAAGAAAACCUAGAUUCAACCCCUGGCUCUGCCACCAGCUAGCUGUAUGAUUCAGCCUAUGACUUCACCUUCCUCAGUAUUAGUCUCCAGAUCUGUAUAAUAGUGAUAAUCAUCCCUGCUCUGCCUAACCUCAUGAAAUUGUUAUGAAGAUUGAAUGGCAAAUAAGAAGAAGACUCAAGAGCCAAGCAUUAAGAGAAACAUCUUCUGAGUGACAAGUCUUGAAAGCCUAUCAAGAAGUAGCAAUGGGUAUCUAUGAGAUGUGGACUAUAAGGAAAUCUGAAUGCCACCGAACUGAUGCUAUUGAAUUGUGGUCCUAGAGAAGACUUUUGAGAGUUCCUUAUACAGAAAAGAGGUCAAAUCAUUCUAUACUUAA